AAAGCUUCUCUCAGAACGGCAUUGUAGAAUUCUCCGGUGACCAAAUAAUC
rnacentral:sRNA from 1 species